GACGAACGCUGGCGGCGUGCUUAACACAUGCAAGUCGAACGGAAAGGCCCUGCUUUUGUGGGGUGCUCGAGUGGCGAACGGGUGAGUAACACGUGAGUAACCUGCCCUUGACUUUGGAAUAACUUCAGGAAACUGGGGCUAAUACCGGAUAGGAGCUCCUGCUGCAUGGUGGGGGUUGGAAAGUUUCGGCGGUUGGGGAUGGACUCGCGGCUUAUCAGCUUGUUGGUGGGGUAGUGGCUUACCAAGGCUUUGACGGGUAGCCGGCCUGAGAGGGUGACCGGCCACAUUGGGACUGAGAUACGGCCCAGACUCCUACGGGAGGCAGCAGUGGGGAAUAUUGCACAAUGGGCGGAAGCCUGAUGCAGCAACGCCGCGUGCGGGAUGACGGCCUUCGGGUUGUAAACCGCUUUCGCCUGUGACGAAGCGUGAGUGACGGUAAUGGGUAAAGAAGCACCGGCUAACUACGUGCCAGCAGCCGCGGUGAUACGUAGGGUGCGAGCGUUGUCCGGAUUUAUUGNGCGUAAAGGGCUCGUAGGUGGUUGAUCGCGUCGGAAGUGUAAUCUUGGGGCUUAACCCUGAGCGUGCUUUCGAUACGGGUUGACUUGAGGAAGGUAGGGGAGAAUGGAAUUCCUGGUGGAGCGGUGGAAUGCGCAGAUAUCAGGAGGAACACCAGUGGCGAAGGCGGUUCUCUGGGCCUUUCCUGACGCUGAGGAGCAAAAGCGUGGGGAGCGAACAGGCUUAGAUACCCUGGUAGUCCACGCUGUAAACGGUGGGUACUAGGUGUGGGGUCCAUUCCACGGGUUCCGUGCCGUAGCUAACGCUUUAAGUACCCCGCCUGGGGAGUACGGCCGCAAGGCUAAAACUCAAAGGAAUUGACGGGGCCCCGCACAAGCGGCGGAGCAUGCGGAUUAAUUCGAUGCAACGCGUAGAACCUUACCUGGGUUUGACAUGGAUCGGGAGCGCUCAGAGAUGGGUGUGCCUCUUUUGGGGUCGGUUCACAGGUGGUGCAUGGCUGUCGUCAGCUCGUGUCGUGAGAUGUUGGGUUAAGUCCCGCAACGAGCGCAACCCUUGUUCACUGUUGCCAGCACGUUAUGGUGGGGACUCAGUGGAGACCGCCGGGGUCAACUCGGAGGAAGGUGGGGAUGACGUCAAGUCAUCAUGCCCCUUAUGUCCAGGGCUUCACGCAUGCUACAAUGGCUGGUACAGAGAGUGGCGAGCCUGUGAGGGUGAGCGAAUCUCGGAAAGCCGGUCUCAGUUCGGAUUGGGGUCUGCAACUCGACCUCAUGAAGUCGGAGUCGCUAGUAAUCGCAGAUCAGCAACGCUGCGGUGAAUACGUUCCCGGG
rnacentral:rRNA from 1 species